ensembl:snoRNA SNORD15 Small nucleolar RNA SNORD15
CUUCUGUGAUAACAUGGUAACAAGUCAAGGUCAUGUUCUACUCUUGGUCCUUGUCAGUGCCAUAUUCUGUGGUGCUGAGUAGGUGCUCCUUUAGCAAGAGUGUCUUAUUCCUUGACUGAGUUAGAGGCAUUUGUCUGAGAAGG